AAGACUAUUAGUAUGACAUUCUUGCAUUUGCUCAAGUUUUGUUAAUGUAUACAUUUUCAUGUACCUGUGUAAAUUUUAUUUGGCUUUUUGCAUUUGUAAUUUAUAAGAACAACUGUACACUUGAAUUGUGAAUUGAGUGUCUAUAUAUAUUAAUUUUAUCAACAUACAUGAACCUGUAAUUUAAUGGCUGUAGAAUACAGCUGAAUUGUUAAUAUAAACAGAUCCUAUAUUCUCAUUAUGAUUACAUGUAUAUGAGACAGCUGAUUUCAUGGGUAUAAAAUCUUCUAGAUACUGUCAACACAACUCUCUCACACAAGUCAUUCAACAUCCCUCAAGUCCCGCGAUAACCACCAUUGAAUUAUCGUUAAGUACAUCUUCUCUUGUUGGCUUUAAACCUCACAUUUUUCUUCAUUCAUUUUCUAGUCAUCAUACUGUACAAAACUACAUGUACUUCAGAGUUUAUUUUUCAAGCAAAAUCAAUAUACAUGUAUAUCCAUAGAUUUGAAUGAUGAGCAAGUGUGUGAUGUAUGGAUGUGUGAAUUUAGCACACUAUUUACCAUAGUUGUCCGAUAGCUUCAGAAAAUCUAACACCUCCCUGCAGUGUGUAAGCUGGUUUUAAUAGCAUAAUUCCAUUACUUAACAUUUGUAUAUCAAUUACAAUGUAUAUGAAUUGUGAUGGUAUUAACAUAGGUAAUAUCUUAUACACUUAUAGAUAAGCUUAUGUAGUGUUUAUAAAUAACAAGUUUGCAAGGUUGUUUAAAUCAUAUUGAAUAUUAGAGGGGUUGGGUUGAGAUUUUUGGGUUUCUUUUUGUUUAUUUCUUUUUUAUAUUUCUUAGAAACAUUGAAUCUAAAAAGUAAAGACAGUAUUUUGUGAUUGCCUUUUUUUUGUUCAAAUCCCAGACAUUUAUUUUAAAUCAAUUCAAGGAUUGCUAUAUUUAUUAAACACCAAACAAGACAGAAAAAUGUUUUUUGAUCUCUUGUACAAAAGUGAACUUUUCAUGUGUCGGGGCCUUUAGAUUAUGAAUGUCAUGUGCAAUAUCUGAGAAUGAAUGAUGUUAGUAAAUAAUAUAGACCCUUCAUUUCAGCAGCAGCUUAAUAUGUGGAGUCAAAUAAAUCAUCAACUAC
rnacentral:sRNA from 1 species